rnacentral:rRNA from 1 species
ACGUAGGGGGCGAGCGUUGUUCGGAUUUACUGGGCGUAAAGAGCGCGUAGGCGGUUCGAUAAGUCGGAGGUGAAAUCCCUCGGCUCAACCGGGGACCCGCGUCGGAUACUGUCGGACUUGAGUGCAGGAGAGGUGAGCGGAAUUCCCGAUGUAGCGGUGAAAUGCGUAGAUAUCGGGAGGAACACCAGUGGCGAAGGCGGCUCACUGGACUGUCACUGACGCUGAGGCGCGAAAGCGAGGGGAGCAAACAG